rnacentral:rRNA from 1 species
CUUUCCCUCUUUCUUCAGGCCUAACACAUGCAAGUCGAGCGGAUGAAGGGAGCUUGCUCCUGGAUUCAGCGGCGGACGGGUGAGUAAUGCCUAGGAAUCUGCCUGGUAGUGGGGGAUAACGUCCGGAAACGGGCGCUAAUACCGCAUACGUCCUGAGGGAGAAAGUGGGGGAUCUUCGGACUUCACGCUAUCAGAUAACCCUAGGUCGGAUUAGCUAGUUGGUGGGGUAACGGCCUACCAAGGCGGCGUUCCGUAACUGGUCUGUGAGGAUGAUCAGUCACACUGGAACUGAGACACGGUCCAGACUCCUACGGGAGGCAGCAGUGGGGAAUAUUGGACGAUGGGCGAAAGCCUGAUCCAGCCAUGCCGCGUGUGUGAAGAAGGUCUUCGGAUUGUAAAGCACUUUAAGUUGGGAGGAAGGGCAGUAAGUUAAUACCUUGCUGUUUUGACGUUACCAGCAGAAUAAGCACCGGCUAACUUCGUG